UACGUAGGGUGCAAGCGUUGUCCGGAAUUAUUGGGCGUAAAAGAGCUCGUAGGCGGUUUGUUGCGUCGGCUGUGAAAUCCCGAGGCUCAACCUCGGGUCUGCAGUCGAUACGAGCAAACUAGAGUGUUGCAGGGGAGACUGGAAUUCCUGGUGAUAGCGGUGAAAUGCGCAGAUAUCAGGAGGAACACCAGUGGCGAAGGCGGUUCUCUGGGCAUUAACCUGACGCUGGAGGAGCGAAAAGUGUGGGGAGCGAACAGG
rnacentral:rRNA from 1 species